AUACGGAGGGUGCAAACGUUGUUCGGAAUUACUGGGCGUAAAGCGCGCGUAGGCGGUUUGCUAAGUCAGAUGUGAAAGUCCACAGCUCAACUGUGGAAGUGCAUUUGAAACUGGCAGACUUGAGUACUGGAGGGGGUGGUGGAAUUCCCGGUGUAGAGGUGAAAUUCGUAGAUAUCGGGAGGAAUACCGGUGGCGAAGGCGACCACCUGGCCAGAUGCUGACGCUGAGGUGCGAAAGCGUGGGGAGCAAACAGGAUUAGAAACCCUAGUAGUCC
rnacentral:rRNA from 1 species